GAUGAACGCUCGCGAUAGGCUUAACACAUGCAAGUCGAGGGGCAGCAUGGUCUUAGCUUGCUAAGACUGAUGGCGACCGGCGCACGGGUGCGUAACGCGUAUGCAACUUGCCUCACAGAGGGGGAUAACCCGUCGAAAGACGGACUAAUACCGCGUACACUUGGGAUAGGGCAUCCUGACCCAAGGAAAUGAAAUUCGCUGUGAGAUAGGCAUGCGUCCCAUUAGCUAGUUGGUGAGGUAACGGCUCACCAAGGCGACGAUGGGUAGGGGAACUGCGAGGUUGAACCCCCACACUGGUACUGAGACAAGGACCAGACUCCUACGGGAGGCAGCAGUGAGGAAUAUUGGUCAAUGGGCGAGAGCCUGAACCAGCCAAGUCGCGUGAAGGAUGACUGUCUUAUGGAUUGUAAACUUCUUUUAUACGGGAAUAACAAGAGUCACGUGUGGCUCCCUGCAUGUACCGUAUGAAUAAGCAUCGGCUAACUCCGUG
rnacentral:rRNA from 1 species